rnacentral:lncRNA from 1 species
GUCCCCGGCCUGUCUGCGCAGCUCUAGGGCGGCUGCCUUUGGAGCCCCAGACGAGCCAGCCCCCUGCCUCGCGGGCGUCGGGCCUGCGGCAGGAGGGAGCCCUGGGGCUGUACAGGCUUGGCUCGGGGAGGCAGACCCGAGCUACUGCCUCCAUUUUGUUUCCUGCUCAGCUUGGUCUGUGGUGGUGGUGGUGUGGGCUUGGGGUGCGGCCGGGCAGGGGGUUCACCUGCGGCCGCGCCUGUUCGGGGUUUGAGGCCUCGAAGACCCCAUUCCAACCCCCCAGGUUGAUGCUGGCCCAGGAUGGAUCAGACCUGUGAACUAUCUAGAAGAAAUUGUCUGCUGCCCUUUUCCAAUCCAGUGAAUUUAGAUGCCCCUGAAGACAAGGACAGCCCUUUCGGAUGAUCCAGACUCCAGUACCAGUACAUUAGGAAACAUGCUAGAAUUACCUGGAACUUCAUCAUCAUCUACUUCACAGGAAUUGCCAUUUGUAAGCAGUUUUUGGUACAACUUAAAUAUAUACAUAAAUGUAUAUAUACAGGCAACUUAAAGGGAAGUUAUAAAAACCAAUAAUAAUUGGUUUUUGGUUGCUAAUAACUAAUUGGUUUUUGGAAAGCUUACUGCUAAUGAUAAGCUCUUUGGGAAAUUUUUACUUAGAUUUUUGAAUUUCUUGUGUGAGUUUGGUCCUUUUCUGAUUUUCCCAGUUAACUCCAUUGAGGACUGGCUAAGAGUUAAACCUUUAAGGGCGUUUGAUUGAGUUCAGAUUUAAAUUUUCAAGAUAGAUGGAGGUAUACAUUUGUUUAGCUUUUUUUUUUUUUUUUUAAAGGGGGGGGCUUGGCUUUGGCUUACUGGUGUCAUGAGUACAGGUGAACCAGUUAUUUUGGAGUCCUGUUUCUGCAUAAGGCAUGGCAUGUAUUUUUUAGUUGUUGGGGUGAUCCUUGCUACAGGUUGCAGUGCCUUUGGGGUACACAUUCAAAGUAGCUGAGAAGGCCUUCUUGGACAUCAGUAAUUUUUCUGAACUACCUGUUGUACAGAUAACUGCCACCAUCAGGAAGUCUUGGACCUUUUGUAGUUUUUAGUUUUGUAUAUAUAUGUAUAGUAUGUGUUAUAGAAGUGGAAAAAAAAAUGUAAUUUGAGUUACUCAAUAAUACUAUUGUUAGAUUGCGGUAAAUGAUUAAGUUUUUUUUCAAUUUGAUCUUAAGCAGAAUUUGAGUCUCCCUAGUUAGCCAAAUGACAGAGGUAACUUUUCUUAGCUUCACUUUCAUCACCUUUAAAAUCUGAACCAACUCGAUUGUCAAAAGAUUCCUUUCAGCUUUAAAUGUUUGAUUCUGGUUUUGUUUCUGCCCAGAAAUAUUGUCAUGGUCACCUGUAUUGUCAUCACAGAGGACCCCUUUACCCCUUAACAGUGCCUCUGAAAUACUAUGAUUUAAUCAGAAACAAUUUAUGGCGUGUGGUGAUCUUUUUGAUUGCAUUAAACCUUCAUUUUAUCAUACGGCCCUGCUGUUCUUUAGAGUGAGAAUGUGGGUGUGUCACUUUUGUUUCUGUUGAUUCAUAUCUUAAAUGUACUCCUUGAUUUCUUAGCUUGGCAGUUGCAGAUUUUAAAAUUUUGUUUUGGUAGUUAUCUUGAGUGUAUUGUCCUAGAUAUUUUUUUAGGGUAAAUGGGUUUUGUCGGCAGUCUAUUGGCAACUCAGACAAAUCCUUCUUGGAUUCACAUUGAAAUUUAUUUUACAUGUAUAUAGUUUUGUCUUUGUAUCUACAUAAAAACUUAGAUCUGACAGUGGAGAUAGAUGUUUCUCUAGAAGCAUGCAGAUAUAAAUUAAUUUAUCUGGUUCCUAUCAAAGAUGUCAGUGGAGUAUUGGUUCUAUUAAGAACAGUUGAAAAUACUGGAGUCUUUUGAAGGUAUGUUGUGCAUCUGAAGUGGGAGUUACCUUGUAUACAUGUAGAAGAAGUUGUUUCAGGUAGGAAAACUAAAUUGUUCAAAGAUUAUGGGCUUGUAGAAGCAAGUAUCCUUCCUUAAUUUAUUCUUUUAAGACUUUAAUUCAAGGUUGUGAAUAAAAUCUAUAGCUUUGAUUUUUGCCUUUGAUAUUUUUUAGCUGAGGAUUUAAAGUGAAGUCAAUUGCAAGACGCAAAUUUAGUUGACUAAGCUUGGGAAAGAUUUAAUUAAAAAUAAUACAGGGAGUUCCCAUUGUGGCUCAGUGGUAAUGAACCUGGCUAGUAACCAUGAGGAUGGGGUUGAUCCCUGGCCUCGCUCAGUGGGUUAAGGAUCUGGCAUUGCCACAUGUUGUGGUAUAGGUCGCAGAUGUGGCUUGGAUCUGGUGUUGCUAUGGCUGUGGUGUAGGCCAGCAGCUAUAGCUGCUAGCCUGGGAACUUCCACAUGCCAUGGGUGCUGCCCUAGACAGCGGAAAAGAAAAAAAAAAAAAAAAGCUGUGUAGCCACACACUAUUGAUGUAUUCAGACUUUUCAUGGUUGAUUAGUUGAUGCAGAAGGUAUAGAGCACUUAAACUCUGUAUUUGCUCCUAUGCUCAGGGCUAGAAAUUUUAGAAAACCUUUAACAAAUGCUGUUUGUAUUUUUUUCUGUUAGUAAUAUCGUGAUAGAAAAAGAUUUUUUUGGUGAGAGUAAAAGUAGUUAUAUUAGGGUUUUAAGCCCUCUGGAGUUAGAGAAAUACACAUAAUUCAGCAUCACAUCGCUAGUUGUUUUGUACAUCUAGCUACCAGCAGACUUUGUCCUCUGUCAUAAAUGAGCAGGCUCUUCAGUUUUCCCUAUACGCUUCAGUUAUUUUUUUCUGCAUACAGUAAUGUGAAAUGGUUGUCAUCAUAGGUCAUAAUCCUGACCUGGUGCUUUUAUAUUUAUUUAGGUUGAUACUGUCUAAUUUCGGGCAAUGUACAUAUACGGUGAUUUGUACAUUGUAGGUGCUUGAAAAAAAUCUUGAAGGAAGAUUGGUCCCCAGAGCUCCAAGUUAAAACAAGCAAUAACUUACAGUUUAUUAAGUGUUUUGGUCUGUAUUGUCUCAUUGGGUCUUCAUAGCUCUGUAGUAAAAACAGAUGCCAUAAAAGACAUAGAUCAACCUUUAAGGCAUUUGAGAUUAUUGGAGACAAGACUGAAACCCAUGAAGCCAUAGAAUUAUGAGUACUCUUGGUUUUCUUUAGUGACUUUUGAAGGUCUCCAACACUCUUGCCUGGGUCUGAAGUGACUCCUAUUUUUUUCACUAGGCUGAUUUGUAGCAGUUGUUUUUUACUCUUCUUCACUUAUUUUAUGGAGAUAAAUAUGAAGAUAGAUAAUUUAUGUUAUGGCAGUAUUCCUGAAUUUGGGGAUCCAAAUGUAGCCAGCCUCCAUCAUGGUCGAUGUACAUGUUAUACAUCUUUUAUCUAAAGAGGACAACUAAAAAUGAAUACACUUAAAAUGAGAACUAAAAUUUCAUAAGGAGAGAAAGGUUUACUUAGGAUUUUGUAUUGAAGAGUAAAAUUAAGAAUUAUGAAAUGUUUUAAAUCUUUAUUAAAAUUUUGAUUAUGAUGGCAGCUAUUUGUUAUAAUGUAAGAAUCAAAUAGAUUUUUAAAAAAUUUGUAAGUUCCUGUGUGGCUCAGCAGGUUGAGGAUCCAGUGUUGUCAUUGCAGCGGCACAUGUUUGAUUCCUGGCUCGGGAACUUCCACAUGCUGUGAGCAUGAUCAAAA